rnacentral:sRNA from 1 species
UAAAAAGGACCCGUCGGCUAAAAAGACGCUGACGUCCUGUCAGCAACGCCGACACUAGCACAUCCUGUGCG